GGGACGGAAGCUCUCGGCAUUCCAGAGGGACUUCAGAGUCACAGAGAGCCUUGGACUUCGUACUCAAACAAACCAACUCUGAAAAGACAGGAGACAACCAGGGAAAUUUCAACACUGCUAGCAGAUUAUCACAAGGAAUUCAUGGGUCGUGUUUUAGGUGUGAUAACAGUAGUACAGUUAUUUUUUUGGAAGAGUCCCUAUUCUGUACAGCGACGCACUGAGACUCAAAACCACGAAGAUGCCAAGAAUCACAACUUUCACACAAAGGACACACUUUCUUUGAUGGAAUCUUCAGAUCACACAUCACAAAGGCAGCACGCCAUCAGUCUUUGAAAUGUCCCAAAACACGUAAAGAAUGUUCCGCUGCAGAUCCGGCUUGUUUCACGGGUGUGUGGCCUCCUCUUCCGAAGUCAUUUCAUUCUUCGGGGUCUUUGACACGCUCUGGCAGCAAGCGCGGAGAGGUGAACGGGGCAGCGUUUGUGCUGAGAGUGGGCUGAGAGCGCCGCCCUGCCCACUCUGGCCUGGGGCAUCCCAUCUCUGCCAGGUUCUGGGCUUUGCAUUUUCUUUUCAUUUCAUUCUUCCCAGGCGAGAGCACAAGGAAACAAGCAGAAGGAAUUCAGAGAAACAGCUCCAGGCUCCAGCUCAAAGGCCGACACCAAAAGCGAACACCUCUGGGCGCUCUUGCCUUCAAGAAGGUGGGGGAGGCUCACAAACACAGCAUCCACCCCUCGCAGGGAACCUCACUUCCUGGCCUGUGGUCCCGUGAAGGACAUCAGGCUGGCAGAUUGGAGCACACCCCUUCUUUCUAACCCCUCUUGAAAGCUUCCUUGAAUCUGCCAGUCCUGCCCCCGGAGCAGGAAGGAAAACAGAAGGCCUAGGACACUAGAGGGGUCCCGAGCUUUCCGGAGCUCCAGCCACCAGCAGGUCUGACUGCUCAGGGCCAGACACACCGACCACAUCCUGACCUCAGGAUGGCCUGCGGAAGUACUUGGCAUUUCUUCUUAGCCAAAUCCCUUCAUUAAAAGACGGGUGAGGGUUCCAGCGCCG
rnacentral:lncRNA from 1 species